GUGCCUAUGGUGUAACGAUUAGCACAAAAGCUUGUGGCGCUUUUAGAGAGGGUUUGACUCCCUCUAGGCACC
rnacentral:tRNA from 1 species